UGGACUGGACUGCCGCCGCAGUGGACAAUUUGAGCAGUCGCGAUGAAAAACUGAACCCCGAAUAAGCCAGGGGUCCUGUGCUGUAUUUUUGCUCGAGUGGAAAUUGCGAGAGGAGGAGGAGAGGCUCGGAAUUCUGCAGCUAUCGAGCUAUUAGAUCAGAACCCCCGCGGGAGGGAGAGGUGAAACAGACGGCUAAGGGACCUGACCGAGGACCUGUCAUAAAACUCUAACGUCCCUGGAUCGAGUGCGGGAACAGGAUGAAGAGGGCUUGUCUGUGAGGUCCUGAGCAGUGCUUGGUCCGAGCCUUGAGGGAGGAGGAAAUCCGCUCAUCCCCGCCCCGGCCCCGCCCCCCACCUCUGUCGCCGC